rfam:Jeotgalibacillus soli Cunha et al. 2012 strain P9 contig00018, whole genome shotgun sequence.
GGACCCUUUAAUACAGUCCUGUGAGGCUGGGAAGGAACAGUUAAGCAAUAGUUAACCCUAUUGUAAAACUCUUUGUGUGUGUACACGAACCCUCCCUGUCAAAACGGGGAGGGUUUUAUUGUU